rnacentral:sRNA from 1 species
GCCCCGCGGCGGUGCGCGCGUGAGAGGGAGCGCGCGGGCAGCCGAGCGCCGGUGUGAGCCCGCGCUGCUGCCAGUGUGAGCGGCGGUGUGAGCGCGGUGGGUGCGGAGGGGCGUGUGUGCCGGCGCGGGCGCCGUGGGGUGCAAACCCCGAGCGUCUACGCUGCCAUGAGGGGCGCGAACGCCUGGGCGCCAGUCUGCCUGCUGCUGGCUGCCGCCACCCAGCUCUCGCGGCAGCAGUCCCCAGAGAGACCUGUUUUCACAUGUGGUGGCAUUCUUACUGGAGAGUCUGGAUUUAUUGGCAGUGAAGGUUUUCCUGGAGUGUACCCUCCAAAUAGCAAAUGUACUUGGAAAAUCACAGUUCCCGAAGGAAAAGUAGUCGUUCUCAAUUUCCGAUUCAUAGACCUCGAGAGUGACAACCUGUGCCGCUAUGACUUUGUGGAUGUGUACAAUGGCCAUGCCAAUGGCCAGCGCAUUGGCCGCUUCUGUGGCACUUUCCGGCCUGGAGCCCUUGUGUCCAGUGGCAACAAGAUGAUGGUGCAGAUGAUUUCUGAUGCCAACACAGCUGGCAAUGGCUUCAUGGCCAUGUUCUCCGCUGCUGAACCAAACGAAAGAGGUAGAUUGGAGAUGGCAGAAAAAAAGAGUCAGUGAACUUAAAUAGAAAUUACUCAAUCUGAAGAAAAAGGAGGAAAAAGAUUGAAGAAAAA